CACGAACCGGGCAAACGUUAUUCGGAAUUAUUGGGCUUAAAGGGUGCGUAGGCGGUGCGGUAAGUGAGGUGUGAAAGCCCUCGGCUCAACCGAGGAAUUGCGCUUCAUACUGCCGUGCUGGAGGGAGACAGAGGUAAGCGGAACUGAUGGUGGAGCGGUGAAAUGCGUUGAUAUCAUCAGGAACACCGGUGGCGAAAGCGGCUUACUGGGUCUCUUCUGACGCUGAGGCACGAAAGCUAGGGUAGCGAACGGGAUUAGAUACCCGAGUAGU
rnacentral:rRNA from 1 species